UACGUAGGGAGCAAGCGUUGUUCGGAUUUACUGGGCGUAAAGGGCGCGUAGGCGGCGUGUCAAGUCGAUUGUGAAAUCUCCGGGCUUAACUCGGAACGGCCAAUCGAUACUGACGUGCUAGAGUGCAGAAAGGGCAAUCGGAAUUCUUGGUGUAGCGGUGAAAUGCGUAGAUAUCAAGAGGAACACCUGAGGCGAAGGCGGGUUGCUAGGCUGACACUGACGCUGAGUGCGCGAAAGCCAGGGGGGCAAACGGG
rnacentral:rRNA from 1 species